GACGAACUGUGCAAACGUUAUUCGGAAUCACUGGGCUUGAAGAGUGCGUAGGCGGUUUUGUAAGUAGGGUGUGAAAGCCCCCGGCUCAACCGGGGAAUUGCGCCCUAAACUGCAAGGCUUGAGUGAGGUAGGGGUGUGUGGAACUGCGAGUGUAGAGGUGAAAUUCGUAGAUAUUCGCAAGAACACCAGUGGCGAAGGCGGCUCACUGGCCCGAUACUGACGCUGAGGUGCGAAAGCGUGGGGAGCAAACAGG
rnacentral:rRNA from 1 species